rnacentral:rRNA from 1 species
UGUAAGCGUAUACCAAAGUUGUUGCAGUUAAAACGCUCGUAGUCGGAAUUUGGCAGUUCCGGAUGUGUGCACGUCGUGUGCGCACUUCGCGGGGAUUGCUUUUGUGGUCUUGCGUAGGAUGAGGCACUUUUAUUAGUGAACGUCCUCACGCAACCACUUUUUACUGUGAGAAAAUCAGAGUGCUCAAAGCAGGCAUUUGCCGUGAAUGUAUUAGCAUGGAAUAAUAGAAUAGGACUUGAUUCUAUUUUGUUGGUUUGUUGGGACUGAGUAAUGAUUAAGAGGGACAGUUGGGGGCAUUUGUAUUUCGGUGCUAGAGGUGAAAUUCUUAGAUUACCGAAAGACAAACUGCUGCGAAAGCGUCUGCCAAGGAUGUUUUCAUUGA